rnacentral:rRNA from 1 species
CCCAGGUCGUCCAGGGACUGCGGCGUGUGCCAGUGCGUGUUCUGCGCCGACGACGAGCUCCGCCUCCUGCCGGCGUGCCGCCACGCGUUCCACUCCGUCUGCGUCGACCCGUGGCUCCGCGCCAACCCGUCCUGCCCUCUCUGCCACGCCUUCAUCGCACUCCCGUACCCGCCGCUCCCCGAGCUCCUCUGCGUCGAGCUCGACAGCGUCAGCAGCCGCCGCUCCCCGAGCUCCUCCUCCUCCUCCGCGGCCGUCGCCGCAGCGCCGCCAGAGGGAGUCCGCGCGUACCCGCUCCCCAACUCCAACACCAACACAGAGUACCUCGUGGAGGAGGACCUCCAGGUGGUCCUCAAGCCGCCCAGCGCUGCCAACCCGGCGCCACCGCCGCCACCCACGGCUCGAAAUACCGGCGAGCCGAGCCAGCAGCUGGCAGCCGCGGCGGAGCGCGCGCUGUCGUCGUCCGUGACGCCGACAGCGUCGUUCAGGUCGGUGGGGCGUUCCAGCAGCAGGUGGAGCAGCCGGUGGAGCAGCCGGUACGACGCCGGGAGCGUGACGGCCGCCGCCACGGCCGAGUGGUGGUGGAACAUGGACGGCGGGGUGGCGCCAGCGUCGCGGCGGGCCGAGUCCGAGGACGGCAGCGCGUUCUACGGGUUCGUGCGGUGGCUGACGGGAGCAUACUAG